CACGUAGGGCGCAAGCGUUGUCCGGAAUUAUUGGGCGUAAAGAGCUCGUAGGCGGUUUGUCGCGUCUGCUGUGAAAACUCGGGGCUUAACCCCGGGCCUGCAGUGGGUACGGGCAGACUAGAGUGCGGUAGGGGAGACUGGAAUUCCUGGUGUAGCGGUGAAAUGCGCAGAUAUCAGGAGGAACACCGGUGGCGAAGGCGGCGACCUGGGUAGAUACUGACGCUGAGGCGCGAAAGCGUGGGGAGCAAACAGG
rnacentral:rRNA from 1 species